CAGAUAUGGCGAAGCCCCUCCUGUGAUUUUACCAAGACGUCGCCAAGCCUUCACUGGUAUGGUGCACACAGGACAGCGGGGCCGUCCGGCCGGGCAAGCCAUCGUCACUGAGGUGGAAGACGCCAUCGACAUCUACUACAAAAAUUCCUCGCCCGUUGGUGACGUCACAAGGCAACUCAAGAGCUACAAGAGACUGCAGGCCACCACCGCCAGGUUCAGCAGGUCACGGCCUGUCAUUCCGCC